GACGAACCGUGCGAACGUUAUUCGGAAUCACUGGGCUUAAAGCGCGUGCAGGCGGUCCGGCACGUCCGGCGCUGAAAUCCCCCGGCUCAACCGGGGAAGCGGCACGGAUACGACCGGGCUCGAGGGGGGUAGGGGGAUCGGGAACUUCCGGUGGAGCGGUGAAAUGCGUUGAGAUCGGAAGGAACGCCCGUGGCGAAAGCGCGGUCCUGGACCCCACCUGACGCUGAGACGCGAAAGCCAGGGGAGCGAACGGG
rnacentral:rRNA from 1 species